rnacentral:lncRNA from 1 species
GCUAUAUCUUUCACCCCAGUUAAGUCUUACAGAAAACAACUAAUCCCCAGGGCAUCAUACUGUGAAAAGCUGAAGCCAGAAAUAAGUUUUUUUAGCAGUUGUAUACUCUGUGAAGGGUCUUUCUUUUCUUUUUUUGUAGAAUUACUUAACUGUACUCACUGGAGCUUUUGUGAAGAACACAUCAAGGACAGAGAUAAGGGAAGUGGAUAUUAUGGGGGAAGAGAAGUACAGCCAGCAAGUUUAGCCUGCUGGUCUCCACUGUCUUCCCCAUUUCAUAAACUGGACCCCAGACCUCCAUUUUCCAACAAACUUCAAUAAUCUGACAGCUCAGAACUAGAGCUGAAAGCCAAGAAAGGAGGAGAAUCAAAGGAAGUACUGAAUUGCCUAAGCAUGAAUAAUAAGACUUUGGAAACUUCGUUGUGAAGAUUAAGGAUGACCUUUAUUUUUGAAGUGCAUCUUCUUUGAGACUGCAAGGAGACUUAGUGGGUAUCAUUUUUGUUUGUCUUUUUUGCAAUAUUCAGAAAAGAUUUAGUUGAGUAGAAUGAGUUGGCUGUUUUAUUUUAUUAUUCUGUUUCUUUUAUUACUUGAUGGUUUUCCAACUUAGUUCAUUUUUCAAGAUUUUUAAAUUCUUUUGUUAUAGUUAAAGCAAACCAGAAUAAUAAAAGAAAACUAAAUCAAGCA